ensembl:lncRNA
UUCUGACAGAACGGAGUCCAGGGCGAGGGCAUGUUUUAUACAGGGGACCUGCACUGAACCUGGAUCUGUUCACUAGCUACAACCCAACCUUGUGCGGGCAGCAUGAUUGUUUUCUUUGUUAAUGCGCUCCUUUCUAAAGGUCACCAGGCUGCAGAACACUGUAUUUGAUCAUGGAUCAGAAAGCGACAUUGGAGCACCAGCUUUUAAACUCCAGAAGAACUUGGAAGAGAACCCUGUUUCGAUUAGCAACUUUCGAAAAAACGACAUGCUAAACACUCAAAAUAUAGAUAUUGUGCCGGCACCACCAAUGCCCAAGUGUAAACCGCCUACUCUGCGUUUGGAGAUAAUGGACGAACACGCCGGUUACACAACAGUAGGCCUCUCUCCCCAGAGAGACCUACUGCCUCCGAGGGAAGCUCAGCGGCACUUUAAGUCCAGUGUGGGCCCCCCCUACCACCAGCCCGGGCCCCGUGGGUGACCAAAGAAGAAAAACAAAGCAUUCAAUAAUUACAUGCAUGAAUACCCCAAUAACACACCGCACAGACUGACGCUUAGCUGUUGGAGCUGGCGGCCGGCCUUCCUCUGCCAAUGGUUUUAGAUAAGAGGCAGAGCAGAGGGAAGAGACGGCUCGG